UACGGAGGGUGCAAACGUUGCUCGGAAUCAUUGGGCGUAAAGCGCACGUAGGCGGCUUGUUAAGUCGGGUGUGAAAGCCCCGGGCUCAACCCGGGAAGUGCAUUCGAAACUGGCAAGCUUGAAUAUGGAAGAGGGUCGCGGAAUUCCCGGUGUAGAGGUGAAAUUCGUAGAUAUCGGGAGGAACACCAGUGGCGAAGGCGGCGACCUGGGCCAAUAUUGACGCUGAGGUGCGAAAGCGUGGGGAGCAAACAGG
rnacentral:rRNA from 1 species